AUGCUUAACACAUGCAAGUCGAUUCGAUUUACCUUCGGGUAUUGAGGAUGGCGGACGGGUGAGUAACGCGUAAGGAACUUGCCUCUUGGUCUGGGACAACUGUUGGAAACGACAGCUAAUACCGGAUAUUAUGAGAUUCUCGCAUGGGAAACUUAUGAAAGCUAUAUGCGCCAAGAGAGAGCCUUGCGUUCCAUUAGCUAGUUGGUGGGGUAACGGCCCACCAAGGCGACGAUGGAUAGCCGGCCUGAGAGGGUGAACGGCCACAAGGGGACUGAGACACGGCCCUUACUCCUACGGGAGGCAGCAGUGGGGAAUAUUGGACAAUGGGCCACAAGCCUGAUCCAGCAAUUCUGUGUGCACGAUGAAGGUCUUCGGAUUGUAAAGUGCUUUCAGUUGGGAAGAAGAAAGUGACGGUACCAACAGAAGAAGCGACGGCUAAAUACGUG
rnacentral:rRNA from 1 species